rnacentral:other from 1 species
AUCUCCCUGCUGCGUUCGCGAGGGUCGUACAUUCUUUGAACCGAUACGCUCUGCGUAAGGUUGGGUGUCUAUCCCGCUGGUGCGCGCGUGGCUUUGCCCAUGUACCCGAUGCGGAUGCGCCCGACCGCCUUGAACCCAAGGGUUCAAGAUAGCGUCCCGGACGGCGCAAGCGGGGAGACC